rnacentral:rRNA from 1 species
UACGAAGGGGGCUAGCGUUGUUCGGAAUUACUGGGCGUAAAGCGCACGUAGGCGGAUUUGUAAGUUAGGGGUGAAAUCCCGGGGCUCAACCUCGGAACUGCCUUUGAUACUGCAAGUCUCGAGUCCGAUAGAGGUGAGUGGAAUUCCUAGUGUAGAGGUGAAAUUCGUAGAUAUUAGGAAGAACACCAGUGGCGAAGGCGGCUCACUGGAUCGGUACUGACGCUGAGGUGCGAAAGCGUGGGGAGCAAACAGG